UAGUAACCUCAUUUUCAGCUGAGGAAACUGAGACCCACAAGGAUGAAGUCUCCUGCCUAAGGCUCACAAGUAAAAAGUGGCAAAGCUGGAACUGGAACCCAGGUUUCCUGGGAAUUGGAUGCUGAGAUGAAAAGCAUAUGAGUAGCUUUCUUCCAGCAUUCUUCUUGGUGAUUAACCAACUAUCCAAGUACAAAGUUGCUCCUAAUUAACCCUGAGGACCCCAAUAUAAAGUUGCAAAUGAAAGAAGUCCUGCUACUCUAAAGAAUAACUAAACCAGACUGGAGUCACUGAAACUGAUGGAAGAACAUCUCAGGCAUGAGUGCCAUGGUGACGUCAUCAGCUCCGUUCACAACCACUCACCAUGAGGCCAUUGCUCCUGUGGAGGACACUGGCUUAGGACUCAUGAAGUAGUACCUCAGGAAGGUGUCUCUGUAAGUGUUCCUUCCACCAGCUCCAAGACACAAUGAGAUGGAGAGAACUGGAACAAUUCCCUAUGAUUGCAGCUGGAUAUUUUCACAUGAACUAUCUAGUAAUGAAGGCAAUGGCAUGUGGUGUGGCAAAGACUGGCCCCAGAUUACAUUUCCAGUCCUUUUGUACUGAGGAGGGGCUUUGGGACCAAGACAGUAGGAGUGAGGGUACAGGUUCCACAUUCUAUUUCUCUCUUAGUUUUCUGUGGUUAUCUUGGUGACUGCAUGGUAAAGAUGGAGGUGACAAAAGAUGGAAGGAGCCUGGAUCCCUGAAUGACUUCAUGGUGCAGAGCCUUACACUACCCCCAACUCAUACUAAAACAGGGGUGGGAGGAACAAUAGACCAUUAUUCUGUUAAGGUGCUGAAAUUGUAGAGCUGUUAAUUUGAACAGUUAGAGUUUCUUAUACUGAUACAGUAUCCUUACCCUGGAUUGUUGAAAUAAUUAGUCCAAAUAGUUUCUUUGCCUAAAACUGUGGACAGAGCCUAAGCAAUAUUGAAUCCAAGACAAGGUAUAUUUAUCAUCAAAUGCUACUCACUAUACAAUACAGAUGAAUGUGGCACUUACUUCCCGUGUUGUUACCCAGCCUGCUUCUAGUAUUCUUUACACAAAAUAACAUUCAUGAGCAACCUGG
rnacentral:lncRNA from 1 species